GACCUGGCUGGGCGGUCCGCCUCACGGUGUGUACUGUCUGGCUGGGUCUUACCUCUUGGUGAGCCGGCAUGCUCUUUACUGGGUGUGUCGGGGAACCAGGACUUUUACCUUGAGAAAAUUAGAGUGUUCAAAGCAGGCCUGCGCCUGAAUACAUUAGCAUGGAAUAAUAAAAUAGGACGUGCGGUUCUAUUUUGUUGGUUUCUAGAGUCGCCGUA
rnacentral:rRNA from 1 species